GGGGCGGUAGCUCAGUGGUCAGAGCACGGAACUCAUAAUUCCCUGGUCGUGGGUUCGAUCCCCACCCGCCCCA
rnacentral:tRNA from 1 species